AACUAACGCUAGCGGCGUGCCUAACACAUGCAAGUCGUACGAGAAAGUCGGCUUCGGCCGGCGAGUAAAGUGGCGCACGGGUGAGUAACGCGUGGAUAAUCUACCCUUGAGUUGGGAAUAACGUGCCGAAAGGUGCGCUAAUACCGAAUAAUACUGAGUGACUAAUGUUGCUUAGUCAAAGAAGGCCUCCGCUUGCAAGCUUUCGCUGAAGGAUGAGUCCGCGUACCAUUAGCUAGUUGGUAGGGUAAUGGCCUACCAAGGCAACGAUGGUUAGCUGGUCUGAGAGGAUGAUCAGCCACACUGGAACUGAGACACGGUCCAGACUCCUACGGGAGGCAGCAGUGAGGAAUAUUGCGCAAUGGGGGCAACCCUGACGCAGCAACGCCGCGUGAGUGAGGAAGGUUUUCGGACCGUAAAGCUCUGUCGAGCGGGAAGAAAUGCAUGCUGGCUAAUAUCCAUCAUGCUUGACGGUACCG
rnacentral:rRNA from 1 species